rnacentral:rRNA from 1 species
UACGUAGGGUGCGAGCGUUGUCCGGAAUUACUGGGCGUAAAGAGCUCGUAGGUGGUUUGUCGCGUUGUUCGUGAAAACUCACAGCUCAACUGUGGGCGUGCGGGCGAUACGGGCAGACUGGAGUACUGCAGGGGAGACUGGAAUUCCUGGUGUAGCGGUGGAAUGCGCAGAUAUCAGGAGGAACACCGGUGGCGAAGGCGGGUCUCUGGGCCGUAACUGACGCUGGAGGAGCGAAAGCGUGGGGAGCGAACAGG